UACGGGGGGGCAAGCGUUGUUCGGAAUUACUGGGCGUAAAGGGCGCGUAGGCGGUGCUCUAAGUCGGAUGUGAAACUCUGGGCUCAACCCAGAGCCUGCAUCCGAAACUGGAGUGCUAGAGUUCUGGAGGGGUAGCGGAAUUCCCGGUGUAGCGGUGAAAUGCGCAGAUAUCGGGAAGAACACCCGUGGCGAAGGCGGCACUCUGGGACGGUACUGACGCUGAGACGCGAAAGCGUGGGGAGCGAACAGG
rnacentral:rRNA from 1 species